rnacentral:rRNA from 1 species
GGCCUAUUCCCCUUGUUUGAUCAUGGCUCAGGAUGAACGCUGGCGGCGUGGAUAAGGCAUGCAAGUCGAAAGGGUUUAGGCCCUUGGCAAACGGGUUCGUAAUACAUAGGAAUUUGCCCUCGAGUCGUGAAUAAUCCGGAGAAAUCCGGAACAAUGCACGAUAGUCUCUACGGAGUAAAGAUUUAUCGCUUGAGGAGAAGCCUGUGCCCUAUCAGCUAGUUGGUGAGGUAAUAGCUCACCAAGGCAAUGACGGGUAGGGGGUGUGAGAGCAUGACCCCCAACAUUGGAACUGAGACACUGUCCAAACACCUACGGGUGGCUGCAGUCGAGAAUAUUCCACAAUGGGCGAAAGCCUGAUGGAGCGACGCCGCGUGCGAGAUGAAGGCCUUAGGGUCGUAAACCGCUUUUCUUAGGGAGCAAUUUCGAUGAGAGUACCUAAGGAAUAAGAGGUUACUAACUCUGUGCCAGCAGUAGCGGUAAUACAGAGACCUCAAGCGUUAUCCGGAUUUAUUGGGCGUAAAGCGUGUGUAGGCGGUCUGAUUAGUCAGAUGUUAAAUAUCAGGGCUCAACCCUGAACCAGCAUUUGAAACGGUUAGACUAGAGAAUGUGAGAGAUCAGUGGAAUUUAUGGUGUAGUAGUGAAAUGCGUUGAUAUCAUAAAGAACACCCAAGGCGAAGGCAACUGAUUGGCACAUUUCUGACGCUGAGACACGAAAGCGUGGGGAGCGAAUGGGAUUA